rnacentral:tRNA from 1 species
GGCGACGUAGCCAAGUGGUUAAGGCAGGGGUCUGCAAAACCCCGACCGUCGGUUCAAGUCCGACCGUCGCCUCCU